GUGGAGGGGCUUAGUCAUCAGAAGGGGCGUGGCCCCAAGGCGGCGCGUGGCCUAGGGCCGGGAACCAGCGCGGCAGGGACAGGGCGCGUUUUGUGAAAUCGCUGAAGAAUUCUGAGCCUUGGCCAGUGUUCCUCUGUGAAAUCGGACAAUCCCGAAACGAAAAUGUGUUGGUGGGCUUGCAGACCCUGGGGACCCUGCUGCUCCCGAUCACAGCACUGGCUGAAACUUUCCCAGAUCCUGCAUUCUGAGUGGGAAGAACAUAUGAGAACCAGUUCAACGUUGCUGACCUUCAGGAAGCUGCAGAAUAAAGGACAGGGCUGUCUUUCUGCAGCCCACAGGCCUCAGGCUCCAUCUGCUUGUUGCUUUAGGACAUUCACCCUCUUCUCCAGAAGAUGGACAGGUCUGAGGGACAUCCCCUUUGUUCUGUUAUCCUCAGCCACCUCAGUGCAGUGGGCAUGAAAAAGGAGAGGAGAGGAGUAAGGAAGUGUGUGCAGAGAACCUUGCAGUGUGGCUUAAGAGCAAAGACUCCUGAGGUCAGAUCUGAGCUGCCUCUUUUUGACAGUGUCAGGUUUUAUUUUAGGAGUUCCUCAGGGUUUGGAAUUUCUGUUACCACGGACCUUCUUCAUAGGCUCAGAGGGAGAAUGUGGAAGAGUUGUUUGGCCAUUUUAUACAUACAUAGUAUACACAUGUAUUAAAUUAAGGAAGUCUAUUCAGUAAAAGGCUUUGUGAUGAUUUAUGUUUGUGAUACUGCAUGUAUACUAUAAAUUAAGUAUGUACAAAGAAGAGUAUGUUGCACACAAGCUCACACACUCUUUCACAGUUCCUAGCUUAAAAUUUCCUCUUCAAGGCAGUCCAUAGAAAUCACAGUUUCUCUUUUCUAAAAUGGGGAAUGAGAUCUCGAAUCCCUUGCAUUUUCUGUCUUGGAGCUGGCCAAGAAGAAAAUUUCAGGCCCAGUGUGGUAGAGUAUGCCUUUUCAUUUCAGCUCUCAGGAGGCGGAGGCAGGCUGAUCUCAGAGUUUGAGGCCAGUCUGGUCUACAGAGUUCUAGGAGAGCCAGGACUACACAGAAAAACCCUGUCUCAAAUAAACACUCCCCCCCCCCCACAUACACAGAGAGAGAGAGACAGAGACAGAGAGAGAGACAGAGACAGAGAGAGAGGAAAAAGAAAACUUUCUGAAGGACCCGUGUCAUAGGAGGUGUUAAGACUCUUCACUUCAGGAGAGAUCUGGCUGCAUUCCUAGGAGGAAGAAAUGCUGUACAGAAAAGCCAAGAAUGUGGACAGACAGGAACAGCUGAAUAGUGGAGUCCCCACGUCUCUGCUGGAGAACAGACUGACACGGAGGUCAUGCCAUGGAGGAGCUGAUUCUGUUAGCAAGCCUGCAAGAUGACUAAGCGUCAAACCUGAUGACCUGAUAUGCAGCCCUGCCCAGAAACUGAGAGUAGAGAGCUGGCUGGGAGGAUCUCUCAGCAUGUUUGUGAAUCUCUGGAAGUGACCAGCACUAGCAUUUAUCUGAGAAUGCUGUCUGGAAAUGCAGAUAUGUGAGGAGAAAGGAGAACCAGGCUUGGGAUCAGACUGGCCUCAGAGUCACAGACAGCCACUUGAUUCUGCCUCUCGCUAUGGGUGAAGACUUGUGCCACCUUGUCUGAUGUUACUGAAGAAAGCAGCUCCUUCAGACUCUACUAGGUGUGGCCUUCAGGAAAUUUAUUUCCACACUGGCCAAGCUUUAUCAUUCCUCAGAAGAUGGAAAUAAAGACUUUUGUAGGUUGAAAACCCUUAAGUCCUCAUAUUUGCAGUUAAUUUAAAAACUUAAGAAGACACAGGGUAGAAGAGCCAGGACACAGCUGUGGACAUCAGCGCUCUGCUCCUACUUUGUGAACUUAACCUUUGCCUUGUAUUUCCUGUCCACAUCUUCCCUGGAAGAACAGUGCACAGAUGAACACACAGACAAGUCAGUCAGCAGAAGCUGUUAGGCAUUUUACCACAUUGCUAUGGACAUCAACUUUGAAGAAGCUGCCUGACCCAGCAAAUAAGACCCGAUUAUCAAGCUUUCUGUGUUAACAGAAAAGCAGGAAGUUCACCCAGGGUGCACUCAAAACAAACAGGCUGCCCCUCCUUAGCACACCAACACUGGUGGCCUGGCUCCAUAUUCUUCCAGUUCACUCUCAUGCCAGCUCCUUUCCUUGGAAUUGGAGUUGUUAGGGUUCUUUCUUUUCUCACUGUGUAGAUCAGGCCAGCCCGAAUCUUCCUGCUUUUACCUCUCUGAGUGUUGGAAGCAUGACAGGAGCCAUACAGCCCAAAUGAGCUUUGCAUUGGUCUGCUUGAGCUCUCUUGUUGGUGUGCAAUGGAAUCAGGAGGUAAGGGAUGAUGAGAUGGCUCAUCUGUUUAGGAGGUGAGGAGAGGGGUGGGGGCAAGGCAGGGGGUCUCAGUAGAGUAAGGAGACCAUGCCUAAAGUACUUCAUGUGUGUUUGUGACAAGUCCUUAUACAAUUUAGUGUAUCCAACCAUAAAUAUUUGCUAGUGAAGACUAUUUUCAAAGGUGUUCAUGUGAUAAGAACCCUCUACAGCAUGUGUUUCUAAUUUAAAGUUCAUUAUAAAAUAAUUUAUUCCUGUACCUUGACACACAUCCCCUCCAAAAGAAAAAGUCUUUUGAUGUCCCAAGAACUUCAUAGUUAAAACACUCUAAGCAAUAAGGUGUCGUUAUGAGUUAACAAGCCGCUUAUCAGAGCUCAGAUGGUGAAAGCAGAUUUCAGUUUCUUCCCCACUCCCUACCUCUUCUGUCUUGGUCUGUCUUCAGGCAGAUGUCCCACAUGUAUUGGUAGGGUGGAGGUUUUGUGGGAAUCUUUCUGGAUUAAGCACUCUGACACCAAUGAGAGUGGAAGAUAGGUGGGGUAACCCAGGUUUGAAUCCAGGAUAGCUUCUGGGACGCUUUCAUCCUGGGUCUAGUUUGUAUUCUCACUAGGACCACAAAGGGUAGUGACAAAGCAUAUUUGGCAGUUUAAGGUAACAAACCACGGUUUCAUCUGUUUCUCCAGGUCAUCCUGUUUCAGGUAUCAGGUGAAGUCAUGCUUGGCAAAGAGGCAGGACAAGCAGAGUAGGUAAUUAACUAAAUAAAUCAAUACAUUAGUAUAAUAAUUGGUCUUUUCUACCUUAUUCUACUUCAGGGGCAGCAGCUCCAAACCCUAUCCUGUCUCUAGAAUAACUGAAGUGGGAAAGGCUCCCAUCUUCAUCUGCCAACACUCUCAAGACAAUGUUUAUGGUUGUCAAGGUUCUCUCUUAGAUUUUAACAGUGGGAUCCCAGGAAGAAGGGAUUCUUCCUGUUUACAUCAUGGGGGGUCUACAAACUCUUGUGUGGCAGCUGGUAGGCACUUCCUUUUCCAAUUGAUUAUUUGUAUGAAGUCAGACUUUAUAUGACUCAAUAAAACAAUGAUGUAGGACAGUAUGAACAAAAAGCAGAUCUGGGAAUCGAGAUGUCAGCUACUAAAGAGAUCUUGAAACUUUCAUCCGGUGUCAAUUUCUCUUACUAAUCAUUUUGUUUUGAAAAGGAUGGGUUUACUGGCAAGACCUGGUGACACACAUACCUUUAAUUUAUGCACUUGGGAGGCGGGAGGAUCAGGGGUUCAAAGUCAUCUUUAGCUACACAAAGAAUUUGAGUCAGCCAUAGUACCUAAGAUUCUGUUUUAAAGCUAAAACACCCCCACCCUAACCCAUUCCCUAAUUCCCCAAAUGAAAUCAAAACAACAGGUUUACUUCAAAAAGUGUGAUACUUGUGUAAACAUACAAUAUAGUAAGUGGUUUAUGACUUGCAAGAUUUAAAAUACUUCAGUUCUAAUUUUUAAGAAGAUGAACAUGAACAGAUACAAUAAACA